rnacentral:rRNA from 1 species
UUGGUGACCAGCGGAGGGAUCAUUACCGAGUUUACAACUCCCAAACCCAAUGUGAACCAUACCAAACUGUUGCCUCGGCGGGGUCACGCCCCGGGUGCGUCGCAGCCCCGGAACCAGGCGCCCGCCGGAGGGACCAACCAAACUCUUUACUGUAGUCCCCUCGCGGACGUUAUUUCUUACAGCUCUGAGCAAAAAAUUCAAAAUGAAUCAAAACUUUCAACAACGGAUCUCUUGGUUCUGGCAUCGAUGAAGAACGCAGCGAAAUGCGAUAAGUAAUGUGAAUUGCAGAAUUCAGUGAAUCAUCGAAUCUUUGAACGCACAUUGCGCCCGCCAGUAUUCUGGCGGGCAUGCCUGUCCGAGCGUCAUUUCAACCCUCGAACCCCUCCGGGGGGUCGGCGUUGGGGAUCGGGAACCCCUCAGACGGGAUCCCGGCCCCGAAAUACAGUGGCGGUCUCGCCGCAGCCUCUCCUGCGCAGUAGUUUGCACAACUCGCACCGGGAGCGCGGCGCGUCCACGUCCGUAAAACACCCAACUUUCUGAAAUGUUGACCUCGGAUCAGGUAGGAAUACCCGCUGAACUUAAGCAUAUCAAUA